GACGAACGCUGGCGGCGUGCCUAAUACAUGCAAGUCGAACGGAAAGGCCCUGCUUUUGUUGGGCGCUCGAGUGGCGAACGGGUGAGUAACACGUGAGUAACCUGCCCUUGACUUUGGGAUAACUUUUGGAAACUGGGGCUAAUACCGCAUAGGAGAUCCUGCAGCAUGGGGUUGGUUGGAAAGUUUCGGCUGUGGUGGAUGGACUCGCGGCUUAUCAGCUUGUUGGUGAGGUAGUGGCUUACCAAGGCUAUGACGGGUAGCCGGCCUGGGAGCGUGACCGGGCACAUUGGGACUGCGGUACGCACCAGACGGCUACGGGAGGCAGCAGUGGAGAAUAUUGCACAGUGGGCGGAAGCCUGAUGCAGCAACGCCGCGUUCGUAAUGACGGCUUUCGGGUUAUAAACAGCUUUCGCCGGUAACGAAGCGUGAGUGACGGUAAUGGAUAAGAAAGCACCGGCUAACUACGUG
rnacentral:rRNA from 1 species